rnacentral:rRNA from 1 species
GAUGAACGCUGGCGGCGUGCCUAAUACAUGCAAGUCGAGCGAACAGACGAGGAGCUUGCUCCUCUGACGUUAGCGGCGGACGGGUGAGUAACACGUGGAUAACCUACCUAUAAGACUGGGAUAACUUCGGGAAACCGGAGCUAAUACCGGAAAAUAUAUUGAACCGCAUGGUUCAAUAGUGAAAGACGGUUUUGCUGUCACUUAUAGAUGGAUCCGCGCCGCAUUAGCUAGUUGGUAAGGUAACGGCUUACCAAGGCGACGAUGCGUAGCCGACCUGAGAGGGUGAUCGGCCACACUGGGACUGAGCCACGGUCCAGACUCCUACGGGAGGCAGCAGUAGGGAAUCUUCCGCAGUGGGCGAAAGCCUGACGGAGCAGCGCCGCGUGAGUGAUGAAGGUCUUCGGAUCGUAAAACUCUGUUAUGAGUGAAGAACAACUGUGUAAGUAACUAUGCACGUCUUGACGGUACCUAGUCAGAAAGCCACGGCUAACUACGUG